AUGGCUUCAGAGGUGGGCAGUAAUCAAAGCCUAAACCAAUCAGUGCUGGUCCUGUCCUUGGCCUGGACACCUGAGGGUGGAGUGGAGAAGAAAGAGAGGAAGGACUCUAGGUUUGUGUCUCUCUCUCUGCUCUAUGGCUUGGCCAAGGAAGCGUGUUGCCCUGAGGAUCUGCGUGUGACGCUGCUUGACAAACCGCCCUUGAUUUUUGUGUGUUUGCUGGUUGCAGGAUUUUGUAUAUCGGCAGCCAAGAAGCCUCAGGCUCUGGAUCGCUAUGUUCUUCUGCUUUCUCUUUUCAAGGACUCCGUUAAAACCUGUAUUGCAGCCAGACAGACAGGGCCUUCCAGUAUCCUCCUGAAGCUUAGGCCUUCUCUUCUGUACCCUUUUCUCCCUGGCAUCUCCUAAAAGCAGGAAACUUCCCUGCAAGGUGUGCCGAGACUGUCCCAGACACACAGAACAGCAAGCAUCUCAGACCACAGGACUCUGCCUCAGAGUCUCCCAAAAGUUCAAUAGCACCAAGCAACAAAAUCUGGCACCCUCGCUUGCACAGCAUAGGGUGACACAAGCUCCCCCAUGCUGCGGCCUCACGGAACAGGGGCACACACCUGUGAUCACAGUUUCUUGCGACUCGAAAGAGAAGCUUCUUGAGAAUCAAAAGCCCAAGCAACACUGAGCCACUUAACAAGACUCUCUCAAAAUAAAAAGGUUUGGGGAUGUAGCUCAGUGAUAGAGAGCUUGCCCUGCAUGCACAGGGCCCUGAGUUCAAGCUCUAGUCACACACACACACACACACACACACACACACACACACACAAGAAAUCCUCAUGGAUGUGUGCAGAAGUGCUGGUACAAAGCCAGGUGUGGUAGCCCUCACCCACAAUCCCAACACUCUGGAGGCUGAGGCAGGAGAAUUGCAGCAAGUUCACCCUAGGGUGUAGAAUUGCUGAGCUGACUGAGUUAAGUUUCUAAACCUCUUAAAUUGGCACAUCCAACCGCUAUAGACUCUAAAAAUUUAGAGUUUUGAUUCCAGUCUUUCUUAAAAGAUGUAGAGCCUGGAAGUGGGUUGUUUUUAUCAUCUUGAUUACCCUACUUUUAAAAUAGUCAGGCAUGGUGGUUCAUGCCUAUAAUCUCAGCACUCAGAAGGGUGAGGCAGGAUGACCCCCAUGAGGUUAGGGCGAGGCUAGGCUACCUAGUGAGUUUAAGACCUUAUCUCCAAAAAAUAAAAUAAAAUAAAAUAAAGAGGGGCAUCAGCUCCAACACAUACCGGAACACCCAGAGCAGCCACCUGGCCCGCUCAGCCACACACACUGCCAGCUGUUGCUAUGCUUAAUCGGGCAAGCAGCCACCUGGGGACAGUGUAGCAGUGCACCCUGGCCCUGUCCGAAAUCUUGCCUGGGAUAAUGAGCAGAGGUCUCCGGGCUGUGAAAGCGGAAAGGCCCUCUCUUUUGUAAGGCAGCCCCCAACUGCAAGCGGACCAAAAAGGGAAGAACGAAAUAAAACAGACUUUGUCUUAUUAGCCUGGCACACAUGCCUGGUGAUCGCUGGCUUAGCUGGCAAACUGCAAAGGCCUCGAUGGGAGACUCCACAUGCAACAAGUGGCUGUCGCUAUGGAAACAGCUCAGAUGAACCCCAAGAACGAAGGACCUCGCCAGGGAGAUG
ensembl:lincRNA